rnacentral:rRNA from 1 species
GCCCGCUCAGAAACUUAAAGGAAUUGACGGGGCCCGCACAAGCGGUGAGCAUGUGGUUUAAUUCGAAGCAACGCGAAGAACCUUACCAGGCCUUGACAUGCAGAGAACUUUCCAGAGAUGGAUUGGUGCCUUCGGGAACUCUGACACAGGUGCUGCAUGGCUGUCGUCAGCUCGUGUCGCGAGAUGUUGGGUUAAGUCCCGUAACGAGCGCAACCCUUGUCCUUAGUUACCAGCACGUUAUGGUGGGCACUCUAAGGAGACUGCCGGUGACAAACCGGAGGAAGGUGGGGAUGACGUCAAGUCAUCAUGGCCCUUACGGCCUGGGCUACACACGUGCUACAAUGGUCGGUACAAAGGGUUGCCAAGCCGCGAGGUGGAGCUAAUCCCAUAAAACCGAUCGUAGUCCGGAUCGCAGUCUGCAACUCGACUGCGUGAAGUCGGAAUCGCUAGUAAUCGUGAAUCAGAAUGUCGCGGUGAAUACGUUCCCGGGCCUU